UCCCUGGUGGCUUAGAUGGUAAAGCGUCUGUCUCUAAUGUGGGAGACCCAGGUUCGAUCUCUGGAUUGGGAA
rnacentral:tRNA from 1 species